rnacentral:piRNA from 1 species
UUUGUUUAAAAAUGUUCCGACUGCUUAAU